rnacentral:rRNA from 1 species
UACGUAGGGGCCUAGCGUUGUCCGGAUUUAUUGGGCGUAAAGAGCUCGUAGGCGGUCCGAUAAGUCGGCUGUGAAAGUCAGGGGCUCAACCCUUGAAAGCCGGCCGACACUGUCGGACUAGAGUCCGGAAGAGGCAAGUGGAAUUCCCGGUGUAGCGGUGAAAUGCGCAGAUAUCGGGAGGAACACCAAUGGCGAAGGCAGCUUGCUGGGACGGUACUGACGCUGAGGCGCGAAAGCGUGGGGAGCAAACAGG